rnacentral:rRNA from 1 species
AUGCAGUCGAACGAAGUAGCAAUACUUAGUGGCAGACGGGUGAGUAACAUGUGGGUAUCUACCCUUUGGCCUGGAAUAACACGAGGAAACUUGUGCUAAUACCGGAUAAGUCUUUACAGAGAAAGCUUUAUGCACCAUUGGAUGAGCCCGCACUUGAUUAGUUUGUUGGUAGGGUAAUGGCCUACCAAGACUAUGAUCAAUAGCUGAUUUGAGAGGAUGAUCAGCCACAUUGGGACUGAGACACGGCCCAAACUCCUACGGGAGGCAGCAGUGGGGAAUCUUGCACAAUGGAGGAAACUCUGAUGCAGCGAUGCCGCGUGAGUGAAGAAGGCCUUUGGGUUGUAAAGCUCUUUCGUCGGGGAAGAAAAUGACUGUACCCGAAUAAGAAGGUCCGGCUAACUUCGUGCCAGCAGCCGCGGUAAUACGAAGGGACCUAGCGUAGUUCGGAAUUACUGGGCUUAAAGAGUUCGUAGGUGGUUGAAAAAGUUGGUGGUGAAAUCCCAGAGCUUAACUCUGGAACUGCCAUCAAAACUUUUCAGCUAAAGUAUGAUAGAGGAAAGCAGAAUUUCUAGUGUAGAGGUGAAAAUUCGUAGAUAUUAGAAAGAAUACCAAUUUGCGAAAGGCAGCUUUCUGGGAUCAUUACUGACACU